GGGUGCGAUCAUACCAGCAUUAAUGCACUAGAUCCCAUUAGAACACCACAGUUAAGCGGGCUUGGGCUAGAGUAGUACUGGGAUGGGUGACCUCCUAGGAAGUCCUAGUGUUGCACCCU
rnacentral:rRNA from 1 species